rnacentral:rRNA from 1 species
AGUGAACGCUGGCGGUAGGCCUAACACAUGCAAGUCGAACGGCAGCACAGUAAGAGCUUGCUCUUACGGGUGGCGAGUGGCGGACGGGUGAGGAAUACAUCGGAAUCUACUUUUUCGUGGGGGAUAACGUAGGGAAACUUACGCUAAUACCGCACACGACCUACGGGUGAAAGCAGGGGAUCUUCGGACCUUGCGCGAUUGAAUGAGCCGAUGUCGGAUUAGCUAGUUGGCGGGGUAAAGGCCCACCAAGGCGACGAUCCGUAGCUGGUCUGAGAGGAUGAUCAGCCACACUGGAACUGAGACACGGUCCAGACUCCUACGGGAGGCAGCAGUGGGGAAUAUUGGACAAUGGGCGCAAGCCUGAUCCAGCCAUACCGCGUGGGUGAAGAAGGCCUUCGGGUUGUAAAGCCCUUUUGUUGGGAAAGAAAAGCAGCAGGUUAAUACCCCGCUGUUCUGACGGUACCCAAAGAAUGAGCACCGGCUAACUUCGUG